rnacentral:rRNA from 1 species
CUCGUAGGCGGUCCGUCACGUCGGGAGUGAAAACUCGGGGCUCAACCCCGAGCCUGCUUCCGAUACGGGCGGACUAGAGGUAGGUAGGGGAGAACGGAAUUCCUGGUGUAGCGGUGGAGUGCGCAGAUAUCAGGAGGAACACCGGUGGCGAAGGCGGUUCUCUGGGCCUUACCUGACGCUGAGGAGCGAAAGCGUGGGGAGCGAACA